GUUCAGGUUGUGGCUUUGAUAUGCGGAUUCGUACACUAUAAGUCGUCAACCAAGAGACAUCCAAGCACACAGCCAUGGAACUUUGGAACGGAUGAAAGUGGCUGGUGGCUGUUUCCGACUGGACUCAUGUUGUUGAAAUGCAUCCAAGCAAGGCUUGUUGAUUGGCAUGUGGGUAAUCUAGAGAUCCAAGACCAAGCAGUAUACAGCAAGGACCCGAACAUAUUCUGGCAGUCGUGACAUCCGGUUUUAACAGAGGUGCUUUUGAUAGCUUUUUACAACUCGAUUUUUUGGGAGUUGAUAAAAGAAAAGGAGUGGGGGGCAGCUCGGCCUUUCUUUAUUGACCGGGCCAAAGAAGCAACUACAGUGCUAUAUAUGCAUACUUCCUCGCCCCUCGUUUAAUCAUAUGCAGGCACACAACCUGUGUUCUGUUUGUAUAUAUAAAGGUGUUCUCGAUCCAUUCUUUGUAGGAUUUAGACACCAUAGAGUUAAAAACAAAUACCCAAGCUAACUGAAGAGAGGGGGGGAUGUCAUUUUAUUGUUUGUGCUUGUUGUUGCUGUUGUGUUACUGUUAUGACCUUGCCCCUUGUGUUGAGCUGGGCAUGGCAUCAGUAUGUAACUUGAGUUGUAUCUUGACUGUAUAAAACAAGAACUAACACGCCUCAUGGUUUUCAUUAACAAAUAGUAGCAAGGUUCAUAUCA